AGUUCGGAUUGAAGGCUGAAAUUCGCCUUCAUGAAGCUGGAAUUGCUAGUAAUGGCAGGUCAGCAUACUGCCGUGAAUACGUUCCCGGGCCUUGUACACACCGCCCGUCACACCAUGAGAGUUGGGAAUACCCGAAGCCUGUGAGCUAACUGUAAGGAGGCAGCAGUCGAAGGUAGAAUCAAUGAUUGGGGUGAAGUCGUAACAAGGUAAC
rnacentral:rRNA from 1 species